rnacentral:rRNA from 1 species
ACGAACGCUGGCGGCGUGCUUAAGACAUGCAAGUCGAGCGAGGGGAUUCUUUCAGCUUGCUGUGAGGGUCUCCUAGCGGCGGACGGGUGAGUAACGCGUGGGCAACCUACCCGCGAAUCGGGGACAACAGUGGGAAACCGCUGCUAAUACCGGAUGAGCUUUGCUUGCUGCAUGGCAGGCAAAGGAAAGGCAGCCUCUGCUUAGCAAGCUACUGUUCGCGGAUGGGCCCGCGUCCCAUUAGCUAGUUGGUGGAGGUAACGGCCCACCAAGGCGACGAUGGGUAGCCG